rnacentral:rRNA from 1 species
UACGUAGGGGGCAAGCGUUGUCCGGAAUCAUUGGGCGUAAAGAGCGUGUAGGCGGCCCGAUAAGUCCGCUGUGAAAGUCCAGGGCUCAACCCUGGGAUGCCGGUGGAUACUGUCGGGCUCGAGUCCGGAAGAGGAGUGUGGAAUUCCUGGUGUAGCGGUGAAAUGCGCAGAUAUCAGGAGGAACACCAAUGGCGAAGGCAGCACUCUGGGACGUGACUGACGCUGAGACGCGAAAGCAUGGGGAGCGAACAGG